GUUUUAAUAAUUUAUAUAUAAAAUAUUAAUUUUGUAAAUUAAAAUAAAGUUUUAAACUUUUAAAACU
rnacentral:tRNA from 1 species